UAGAGAGUUUAGCAAUAGAUU
rnacentral:piRNA from 1 species